AUGGAAGCGCCGGCGGACGGAGACCUGGUGGAGCGUCUGCCUGAGGACGUGCUCGUCGAUGUGCUCCGUCGCGUGACGGGGCCACGCUCGCUCGCCGUGUCGCGCUGCGUGUGCAAAGCGUGGCGGGCAAUCAUCGACGGCGAGGGACUCCUCCGCAGGCAGCUCCCGUUCAGCGGCAUCUUCAUCUGCUUCAGGAGGCUAUGUCUGCCCGAGUUCUUCUCCCGCCCCGCGUCCGCGGGUCAGCCUAUUAUUAGCGGCAAGCUCGAUUUCCUGCCCAGGGCCAUUGAACUUCGCCCCGAUGGCAACUACUACAUCGAGGAUCACUGUAAUGGACUCCUCUUGCUCCAAGGGAGCUACAUCGAUGAUCACUACGUGGUUAACCCUGCCACGCGAUGGUGGAACGCUCUGCCCUUAUGCCCGGACAAUCGUGGUGAUUAUUUUCUGGCCUUUGAUCCCACGGUGUCAUCCCAUUACCAGGUGUUUCAGAUCCCUUAUUUGGAUUGGGGAAAAUAUGAGAUUAACCCUUUAGAAGAGACAUCCGAAUGGCCUCCAUCUCCAUAUAUAUUGCAUGUAUUCUCUUCAAGGAGAGGCUGUUGGGAGGAGAGGUUGUUUGUUCGAGAAGGGGACGCCGCAGGAACCGUUGCAAAGGCACGUGUGCGCUUUGAGGGACAACAAAACUCGGUCUAUUGGCGCGGAUCCCUUUAUGUGCAUUGUCAAAGUGAUUUUGUUAUGAGAAUAUCUUUGUCUGAAGAUAAGUACAGUGUGAUUAAGCCACCAACGGAUAUUGGGUGGAGCAGUUAUCUAGGAUUAUCUGAAAAAGGUGUGUACUGUGCAUCAUUUGUUGAGAAUGCUCACAUUCUGGUUUACACCCUCACUGAAUCGUGUGAUCAGUUCGAGUGGAUAUUAAAGAACGACUAUGACCUUAAGCCUGUGCAAAUGUUUGAUGGCCAAGUUAAUGGACCCUGGACCAUACAAGACAUUAACUAUGAAAUUUUUCGUUCUCAUCUACCAAAUAUCAACAAGGAAGAAGUAAUUCAAGAGAAUUUUGAAUGGAACUCCGAUGAUGACGAUUUCAAUGAGAACCUAGACAUUGUUGAAGUGCAACAUCGUCCAUAUUUUGAGAUGGAGGUACUUGGAUUUCACCCGUACAAAGAGAUUCUCUUUUUGAGUAGGUCAGAGGACUAUAAAUUGAAUGCAAUGGCGUUUGCCUAUCAUUUGAAUAGCUUCAAGGUUGAAAAAUUGGGUAGCAUAUACCCGACAGGUCACGACUAUUUCAACUGCAGCAUUCCUAAUGAAUCUCAUGAGAUUGAAUCUUUUCCGUACACGCCAUGUUGGAUUGGAGAAACCCCAGAAAGCGUGAAUUAA
rnacentral:rRNA from 1 species